rnacentral:rRNA from 1 species
GUCUCCGGCCCUGCCACCCUGAACGUGCCCGACCUCGCCUGAUCGCGGAAGCUAAGCAGGGUCGGGCCUGGUUAGGACUUGGAUGGGAGACCACCUAGGAAGACCGGGUGCUGUAGGUG